AUGGAAACUCCAGCUUCAUUUCUUUGCCUCCUUUUACUGUGGACCACGGUCUCAGCUGUCACUGGAGAAACAACACAGGCUCCAGCUUCUCUGAGUUUUUCUCUUGGUGAAACAGCAACACUGUCAUGCAGGUCCAGUGAGAGUGUUGGCAGCUACUUAGCCUGGUACCAGCAGAAAGCAGAGCAAGUUCCCCGGCUCCUUAUCCAUAGUGCCUCCACUAGGGCCGGUGGUGUCCCAGUCCGGUUCAGUGGCACUGGGUCUGGGACAGACUUCACUCUCACCAUCAGCAGUCUAGAACCUGAAGAUGCUGCAGUUUACUACUGUCAACCUUUCAAAAGUUGGUCAUA